GACGAACCGUCCAAACGUUAUUCGGAAUCACUGGGCUUACAGAGUUCGUAGGCGGUCUGGAAAGUUGGGUGUGAAAUCCCUCGGCUCAACCGAGGAACUGCGCUUGAAACUACCAGACUCGAGGGAGAUAGAGGAAAGCGGAACUGAUGGUGGAGCGGUGAAAUGCGUUGAUAUCAUCAGGAACACCGGUGGCGAAGGCGGCUUCUGGGUCUUACCUGACGCUAGGAACGAAAG
rnacentral:rRNA from 1 species